ensembl:lncRNA
GGGGAUUGAAUGGGACACCGUCCGAUGUGGACAGCCGGAGAAGGAGUGCCAGGCGAGCUAGGCCUGACUUGUUGCUCUUUUUGGUCUAUUUCCAAACGCGGGAGAGACUUUCUUCUGUGGAGGCCUGGUUCCAUUGUGUUUUUUCUGGUGAAGGAGAAGCAACACGGCCAGAAGCUCCAAAAACACAACAACAACCCACUUUGGAACACAUUAACUUUAUACCGACAACACAAAUGAUACUGCUUUUAUCACUCUUUACUUUUUGGGACCUUUCUCACAUGAAACGAAAUAGAAGGGGCGUGAGUUGUGAUGAACGUACCCUUCAGAUUUUAUUGUAUAUAGUGGAACGCAUGUUGUCGUUUUUAUCAAUUCUAGAUGGCCCUUUCUAUGGUGACGUGUUGAAGAAGUGACCGUGGCCCCUCUUUUGGCCAGGCAUAUGUAUACAGCUCUAUGCAUGUAUGUAUGUAGGUAUAGGAAUGCAGAUUGCAACUGUGUGCUUUGUGCAGGAAUGUCAAUAGCACACAGUGGAGGGGUUAGGUGUAUUUAAGCAACUAUUGAUUUGCUGCCCACAAUGAUGAAAUACCUGUUGGGGGGACACUCUUAUUGUUAUUAUUUUAACCAUGUUCUCUGUGAACCAUUGGAAUUCAUCUUUUUUCAAUUCCAUGCAUUCUGAAUUUUUAAAUUCCUAACAAUGAAGGCUUAAAUAUAUGAAGGGGUUUGAGCCACAGUAAGACUACUAACGAAGGAACCGGUUCUAUCUGAAGGAAUCCAAGCAGCCACACAUGGAGUCGGAUCACGUUCUCGCUCUCUACAUAGAUGGCGUUUGCAUUGUUAACCAGCCCCUGGGACAUGGAGGUCAGCUCGCUGCGAAUGAGAGAGCAGCAGUUUGAAUCGUCCAGUUUCAGGUUCCCUACAGUGUGGGGGGGGGGGGGGGGGGGCAGAGGGGAUUGGGCGCUCGCGAGGUGGAGCAACUCACCGCUGCUUGCCAUUGGUGGACUCAUGUGUACCGGCUUAGCUUGAAAACAAUUGGAGAACAUCGCCCCUCCUCGCAAUGGGGGUGCAAGAGGGAGAGAGGGCAGUGCGUUGGAAAUUAGUGGGGACAAAGUAGACCGCAAGGUUCACUAGGCAAUCACAGCUAAGCGGGUUUGACUGAAGCUAGAUCCCCCCCUCCACUCCCAUCCAACCGACGCGAACGCACCGAGACACGCAGAUACACACCUUAUUAGCAGGAGCUCCGCGGCCCGUGUUAAUUUAUCAUCUGGAGCGCCCGCGACCCCGGCCCAAAAGCCUGACGUACUUAAUCCUCCCUUUUGCACUUGCGUUACAGGCAGCCAAUAUCUUGAUUAACCUUCCCUCCCCGCGGUCAAUACCAAAUCCCCCCGCCGCCGCCGCCGCACUAAUUGGACUUUGUAAGGCGGAAUACAAAGAGCGCGACCGAAAGCGCACGUGACGGCGUUAAAGAAUAGACGCCCGACAAAAGAAGGUGAACCGAGACCCAGCAGGCGUGGUCACCAGAAGAGAGAGAGAGAGAGGGAGAACCGUUGUUCGUUCCAAUCUCUCUUUGAAAACCAUAUCGGUUUGUAUUGUUGCACAGAAGAUUAGAAAAUGGAGGCCAAUCACCACACAUUGUCCACCUCAUCUCCCUCCCCCCCUCCCCACAACCUAUACACGCAUGCAAACACACAUAAACCAUUUUCCAUAUUUUUUCGAUAUCCAUUGUGCCUUGUCCCCCGUUGCCAUGAUUUUUUUUUUUUGUGUAUUUUAUUCGGUACACAGCUGCGGCUGGUCCAUGGUUCCGGUCCACUGGGCCUUAUUUGGGCAUUGUCUUUUAUUCCCCCCCUCUCCUGCCUCAGAAAAGAAUAUUUCCUCCUAUUUUUAAGUUCAUUAAUAUCCGUGCUUUUUUUCUCCCAUGACCUACAUUGGUUCUGGGCUCUAGGUUUCAUUCUGCGGAAUGGAAAUAACAUAAUAUCUAAUCCCAAACAACAGUCUUAAUGAGAUGAUCAAUGUUUGUGUGUAUAUACCAUGCUCUGCAGUGCUGUGCCCACCCCAACCCUCAUUAGAAGGGAGGGGGAGGGAGGGAGGGAGGGAGAGAGGGAGGGGGUCCUGUCAGCCUGGAUCAGAUGCCUCUCCGACUACAGCGGGAAGGGGCCCUGUUUUGUUGUUUGCCUUACCGGGAAUGUGACGGCUGUAGAAGUCCUUCCUGUUAACUUAGCGUCACUCCGUUUUUCUACACGUAACCAACCCUAUUUCCACCUACACAACACUGCGGCCCCAGAUGGGCUGUAAAACCUGCCGACUGCUGUAGCAUCUUGGUUUGUAUAGCUGAACAGAGCCCUGGGGAAUAGACAACAACCCCACCCUCCGCCCUCCCUCUCCCUCCCUCCCUCUCCCUCCCACCUGGUAAAGACUGGUGGAAUCCUAAUGAUAUUAACCGUAGCUUCUAAAUGAGCGUACUAAUAUAGUAUGAAGAUCAUGAAGGUUUGCACACCAUGUGAAAACCGUUAUGCUUAUCUUUUUUUUUAUUUUGUGUGUUUGAUCUUUUUUUGUGCUGUAUUUUUGAAUAAUAAAAUUCCACAAACAAAAACGAAAGAAAGGUAAUGUUUAUUUUUAUACGCAGGCAGCCUAACCAUAAAAAAAAAAACGAUUUUCUCUCUCCCCAUCCCUGCCUUCCACCUCCAACCCUCC